CCUACGGGAGGCAGCAGUGAGGAAUAUUGGUCAAUGGGCGCGAGCCUGAACCAGCCAAGUCGCGUGAAGGAUGACUGCCCUACGGGUUGUAAACUUCUUUUAUAAAGGAAUAAAGUGAGGUACGUGUGCCUUUUUGUAUGUAUUUUAUGAAUAAGGAUCGGCUAACUCCGUGCCAGCCGCCGCGGUAAUACGGAGGAUCCGAGCGUUAUCCGGAUUUAUUGGGUUUAAAGGGAGCGUAGAGGGGUUGUUAAGUCAGUUGUGAAAUGUUGCGGCUCAACCGUGAAAUUGCAAUUGAUACUGGCAGUCUAGAGUACAGUUGAGGUAGGCGGAAUGCGUGGUGUAGCGGUGAAAUGCUUAGAGAUCACGAAGAACACCGAUUGCGAAGGCAGCUUACUAAACUGCCACUGACGUUGAUGCUCGAAAGUGUGGGUAUCAAACAGGAUUAGAUACCCCAGUAGUC
rnacentral:rRNA from 1 species